rnacentral:rRNA from 1 species
CGCGUAGGCGGUUGGAUAAGUCAGCUGUGAAAACCACGGGCUUAACUCGUGGCCUGCAGUUGAGACUGUCUGGCUUGAAUGUGGGAGAGGAGAGUGGAAUUCCUGGUGUAGCGGUGAAAUGCGUAGAUAUCAGGAGGAACACCGGUGGCGAAGGCGGCUCUCUGGACCACAACUGACGCUGAGGCGCGAAAGCUAGGGAGCAAACA